rnacentral:lncRNA from 1 species
AAUCAUAGCUAUGUAGACAUAACAUAAAGCAGCUCAUCACCUGGCUCUCAGCCACUAUUGUUUGUGAGGUGUAUAAAUAUAACACUGAUACUGUGAAAGAGCUGCUGAAUAAAGCCGUGUCUCAUCUACCUGCUGUCUCCCAAGUGUUCUUCCAGCUCCCUGCCCCUCAUCAACCCACUCUCCUCAGACCUCAGCUGGGGCUUGAACCUGAUAAUUGGUGUAGUCAUCAGGAUGAGGUUCUGAUUCCGAUUCUCCAAUGUUGCUGGUUGGGAGGCCGUACUUUAAGAGUGAAGACCGUGGAGUCCCGAGUCUGGGCACCGAUAGAAAAGAAUCACCUGAUUUCCUUGUCCGCAAUCCCUGGGAGACACUCUUCAGGGUCUGACUGAAUGGAAAAGGAAGCAGGGAAUCCGGUCCAACGUUAAUGUCACCGCCCUCACUGCCCUCUUCAAUUUGAACAUGGUAUUUCUGGCAGUAGCCACCAGAGGGUGCUAAAGAACCUCCUUGAAACGGCUGCAGAGCCCUGUGAGGUUACCAGACUGUUUCCACAAGACCUGUCCUGGGCUGGUCUUGGGGUUUGUGGGGAGGACAGUUUGUUCAGGAGUGGAUGAGGAACAGAAGGGCCCCGAGACCACAGGUUGUGUCAGAGACAGAGCUGAGGCCCUCGCUGGGACUACCACUCAGAGAUAAGCACAAGAAUCAGGCCAAGGAGGCAUCAUUUGGGAUCCUCAUUCCUCUUGCCCCCCUUUGAGGGCAAAGGGUGUUAGUAUACUUAAGGAUGUUGUCCACUUAAUAGAGAGAAAGGGCUAGAUCAGGGAUUUUCCCCUGGGGCUUCCAGCCCCACUCAAGUUAAGGGAUAUAUUGAGAUAUUUAUUUGAUCUUUAGAUUUCAAAGGGAGAGGCUGUUAUCCAGAUUUAAAAAAAAAAUGCUUGAAAAUAAAAUUGAUUGCCUGCCAUAAGAUAAGCAAUUUUUUCAAUAGUAGAAUAUGUGAUAAAAAUACACAUCUUUAGCCUUCAUUAACUUUUAUUAAAAAUUAUAACAAUUCAUAUUUGGCAUAGCCAUCAGUUGUACAUGUAAAGUAAUAAAUGAGAUCAUGGUAUUUGGAGUCGGUCUGUGGGAUUCAAAUAUCAGAACUGACAUUCAUUAGCUGGGUGAUACUGGGCAAAUUCAUUUACCUCUCUGAACCUUAGUUUCCUCAUCUAACCUCUUCUGAAUGGAUUUGGCCAAUGAUGGGAGUCAGGGGGAUGGAAAGCAUGAAUAGGAAAUUGUAAGGUGGGAGGAUGUAGAGGUAGAGACACUUAUUUCCUCCAAGCCCUGUUCACACUCAGUUCUGUUCAUGGCUGAUGACUUGCUCGAUUUGAUAAUGAAUUUAAUAAUGUCAGCACUCUCGGAUGCACAAUAGUAGUUAUAAAAAUGUGGUUAGGUCCUACUCUCUCCUAGAUAAUAUGGUAAAAAAAUUAUUUCCGGCCGG